rnacentral:rRNA from 1 species
GACGAACGCUGGCGGCGUGCUUAACACAUGCAAGUCGAACGGAAAGGCCCUGCUUUUGUGGGGUGCUCGAGUGGCGAACGGGUGAGUAACACGUGAGUAACCUGCCCUUGACUUUGGGAUAACUUCAGGAAACUGGGGCUAAUACCGGAUAGGAGCUCCUGCUGCAUGGUGGGGGUUGGAAAGUUUCGGCGGUUGGGGAUGGACUCGGGGCUUAUCCGCUUGUUGGUGGGGUAGUGGGUUACCAAGGCUUUGAGGGGUAGCCGGCCUGGGGGGGGUGCCGGCCACAUUGGGACGGAGAUGCGGCCCAGACUACUACGGGAGGCAGCAGUGGGGAAUGUUACACAAGGGGCGGAAGCCUGAUGCAGCAACGCCGCGUGCGGGAUGACGGCCUUCGGGUUGUAAACCGCUUUCGCCUGUGACGAAGCGUGAGUGACGGUAAUGGGUAAAGAAGCACCGGCUAACUACGUG